rnacentral:rRNA from 1 species
GAGUUUGAUCCUGGCUCAGAACGAACGCUGGCGGCGCGCCUAAUACAUGCAAGUCGAGCGAGAAGGUGUAGCAAUACACUUGUAAAGCGGCGAACGGGUGAGGAAUGCAUGGGUAACCUACCCUCGAGUGGGGAAUAACUAGCCGAAAGGUUAGCUAAUACCGCAUACGUUUCCGGAACUUCGGUUUCGGAAAGAAAGCAAUACCGUGGGUAUUGCGCUCCUGGAUGGGCUCAUGUCCUAUCAGCUUGUUGGUGAGGUAACGGCUCACCAAGGCUUCGACGGGUAGCUGGUCUGAGAGGACGAUCAGCCACACUGGCACUGCGACACGGGCCAGACUCCUACGGGAGGCAGCAGUAAGGAAUAUUGCGCAAUGGACGAAAGUCUGACGCAGCGACGCCGCGUGGGGGAUGAAGGUCUUCGGAUUGUAAACCCCUUUCGGGAGGGAAGAUGGAGUGGGUAACCACUUGGACGGUACCUCCAGAAGCAGCCACGGCUAACUUCGUG